rnacentral:tRNA from 1 species
AAAGGGAGACCUAAUUCGGGUAUAAGACGAAAAAAUAGUAGUCGAAACCAAGAAUCAAUCCCAAAAGGUCGGAACGAGGUAUGUGGCUUUCAAACUAGGUUCUGGGUUCACAGAAGACCUGAAUCAGGAACAAGGGCUAUUAGCUCAGGUGGUUAGAGCGCACCCCUGAUAAGGGUGAGGUCCCUGGUUCGAGUCCAGGAUGGCCCACCUGCACAGGUGGUAAAAACAAGAGAAGCGAGGAAUCAGCACCUUAUCUUACUUACAUAGUAAGAGAGAAUGCUGGCUCUGAGUAAAGAGUCCAGAGGAACCUUGAAAACUGCAUAGAGCUAGGUGAAAAAGCCAAAAAAGAAGACCGCAAG